AGAAACGGGCGCCGUGGGUGCAAACCAGAGGGGGAAACGGCGCUGAAGAGCCAGCGACCCGGCGGUGCCAGGAAAAAAAGAAAAAAGAAAAAAAAAAAAAAAAAAAAAAAAAAAAGGCGGGCCGGCGGGCAGGUGGGGAGUGAGGGCGGGGGGGGGGGUCAUACUUCGGAGGGUCCCAGAGCAACCUCGGUCAGGACCGGUCCUCGCUCGGAGGCCCCCGAGGGCGGACCGGGUCCUCCACCGCCCCGGCCGCUGGGCCGCCGGGCUGCACCCCGCAAGGCGCCCCGGGGCCCCCGCCCCCGCACGCCCCGAGGUGGAGGAGCCGGGCGGGCGGCCCCCAGGUCUCCCCGCGCUGACUCUCGGAGAGGAGGGGCCGCGGGGCCGCGCAAACCCUCCCCUCCCGGGCGCCCCUCGGCGCGGGCAGCGCGGGGCCCCGAGCCCCGGCCCGCAGGCCGCAGGCUCCGGGACGUUUGCAGAGCCCCCGCCGCCCGAGCCCGCAGGCUCCGGGACGAUUGCAGAGCCCCCGCCGCCCCGAGCCCGCAGGCUCCGGGACGAUUGCAGAGCCCCCGCCGCCCCUCCUCCCGGCUCGCUCGGCCGCGGCCCCGCAGCCUUCCAAAGUUCCCGGGGCUCAGGCCGGGCCCGCCGCAGGGGACGGGGGCGGGGGGGGGCAGGCAGCCGCGGGGGGUUUCCACCCAGCCGCCGACACCCCCGGGGAAUUCCCCCAGCGGGCCACACUCGCGAAGCCGCCUUCCUGCCGCCGAUUUCCGCCGCGGGGCUGCAGCCGCGCGGCCCGCGAGGUGGGGCUCGGGCCACGCCUCCCGCGCCGCUCCGCUCGCGAACCCCGGCCGCCACCCCGCUCGGCCGGAGGCGCCCGAAGGCCUUCGGCAAGUUCCGCCUGCGGCGCGGGGGGGCGGGGCCGCUCGAGCUCCUCCGGGCCGGGCUCGGCUGUUUCCGUGCGCGGCCGCUGCGCACUCGGCACUGGGCGGCGCUGGCUGGCUCCCUGGCUGCGGCUCCUCAGUCGGCGGCGGCUGCUGCUGCCUGUGGCCCGGGCGGCUGGGAGAAGCGGAGUGUUGGUGA
rnacentral:lncRNA from 1 species